rnacentral:rRNA from 1 species
UAGAGUUUGAUCCCAGCUCAGAACGAACGCUGGCGGCGUGCCUAACACAUGCAAGUCGAACGGGCCAAGCCAAGAGCAUUAAGCAGAGAGCAAUUAGCAAAGAGCGGAGAGAAAAGGAGUUAUUUUGACAAGCUCUAAGGAAUAAGCAAUGUACUUUAAGCUAAGGUCUCUACGCUUCAUGCUCUUUGCUUGGUUAGUGGCGGACGGGUGAGUAACGCGUGGCUAACCUUCCCCGCCGGAUUGGGAUAACCCCUCGAAAGGGGGGCUAAUACCAGAUGCGCUUUUCCGGGCCGCGGUCCGGAAAAGAAAAGAUGGCCUAUGCUUGCAAGCUAUCGCCGGGGGAUGGGGCCGCGUCCCAUCAGCUUGUUGGUAGGGUAACGGCCUACCAAGGCUAAGACGGGUAGCUGGUCUGAGAGGACGACCAGCCACACUGGCACUGAGAUACGGGCCAGACUCCUACGGGAGGCAGCAGUCAGGAAUCUUGGGCAAUGGGCGAAAGCCUGACCCAGCCACCCUGCGUGAGGGAUGAAGGCCUUCGGGUCGUAAACCUCUGUCAGAGGGGACGAAUCCAGCAGGGGUGAACAAUCUCUGCUGUAGACA